rnacentral:rRNA from 1 species
GUUUAUAGCCAUGCCAUCCUGAAUGUGCCUGAUCUCGUCUGAUCUCAGAAGCUAAGCAGGGUCAGGCCUGGUUAGUACUUGGAUGGGAAAUCACCUUGGAAUACUAGGUGCUCUAGGCG